GGUGUCUCCUGACUUUGUCACUCAGCUGAUGGUGAAUUUGUUCUGGGAGGGCAGCAGAUGACUCACUGAGUUUUUUUUGGGGGGGGGGGGGAGCUGGGGGAACUCCCUAACAGUGGACAUUGAUGAAUGUGUGCAGGUUACCAUGGCGACAGACUGGCCGAAUCAUAAUCGCACUCGAUACGGGCAAAAGCAUCGCUCGUGACGUCUGCAGAAGUUCUCCCCGUUGGCAUAUUAAAUAGUUUCCGCACCGGAAGACUUACAAAAUAGUGGGGUGUGUCUCCCCUUUUUUUGUUUUGUUUUUUUGACAAUCAAUCCAGAAAGUCUGAGACCACUAAAACUAUUCCAUUGUGUGUGUGUGUGUUUGUGUGCACGCGCGUUUUUAGACAUCAACACAAGUGCAAUGAAACAUAAGGUUCCAGUAGCAUUUCUUCCUGAUCGACACCCUUCUUUUCCUGCUUUUGUUUCAGGAAUAAAGAAUGUUGCUGGUUGCAAUCGAGAAAGAGGUGGGGGCAAUUGAGUGCAUGUCCAGGCUUGAGCGAGGAAGGAAAAAAAAAAAAAAGAAGGGCGGGGAAGAGACGGGUGGAGCGAAGACCUGGAGGCAAAGACAAAUCCUUGAGCAGCUACCACCCCGAGGCCCACCUGCGUCUCGACUUCGUGCAAGGAAAACGACUAAGUUUGGAAGUGAGAAUGCAGCUCCAUACAGCAACUACAAGCUUCUCGACAAACGGUAACGUUACGGCCGAGUCAUGUAAUUGACAAAUAUUCUUGUCCAGGUUUAGUUUUUCAAGACAAUUUUAUUUGCGGUUUCGUGUACAUUCGCUGUCCUUUUCGACAUUAGCAUUGUAGCAAUUGUCAAGCCUUGUGUACAUAGCAGGGAUAGUUCAUCCAUAUGAUCUUACAAAAUUUGUGUGUGCGUGUGCAUAAGAUCUCCCCCCACCCCCACAAGCAGUGAAGUAAUUUUGUGGAAGCCCAUUGGAUUGAUGCAAAAUCAGAUUCGUGUUCAGAUUUUGUCAUGAAUUAGCACUUGUUCAAUUAAAGACACAAAAAUCAUGGCAUUAGUAUGAAGUAGCAGUUUAUUUAUAACAGUAGAGUCCAAAACAAAGUUUCAAAGACAAAAAGAACAUUCAUGAAAGGCAGCAGCAAGUCUUCAACGGGAAGAGCGACCCCAGACGAAGAAAAAAAAAUGUUACGGGUAUGUUGCUGGCAAGGUUUUGUUGUUCUAUAUGUCAAAUUUGACCUUCACAAAAAUCCAACACUUUGUACUUCAACAAAUUCUUGACAUGAUAAGUGACGAUUCAGAGUAAGCACUUGCAUAUCAAAGGACUGAAUCUGUCAAGAUGGCCGUGACGUUUUUAUGCUGGUUGGGAAUGAAAUGGGAACUCUCCACCUAGUAAGCAGCGCGGUAGCGGGCAGAGGCGGCCGUGUGGUCUUUCUUGAUCUGUUUCAAGAGGAUAAUGGUGCACACCAGUGCAAUGAUCUGGACACAGAAAGGAGAGAGGG